rnacentral:rRNA from 1 species
UACGGAGGGAGCUAGCGUUGUUCGGAAUUACUGGGCGUAAAGCGCACGUAGGCGGCUUUUUAGGUCAGGGGUGAAAUCCCGGGGCUCAACCCCGGAACUGCCCUUGAAACUGGAGAGCUAGAAUCUUGGAGAGGCGAGUGGAAUUCCGAGUGUAGAGGUGAAAUUCGUAGAUAUUCGGAAGAACACCAGUGGCGAAGGCGACUCGCUGGACAAGUAUUGACGCUGAGGUGCGAAAGCGUGGGGAGCAAACAGG